AGUUACUGUGACAGUUUCCAUUCUGCAGUGACAGAGCUAGCACACAAAAAAGUGGGUGGCCAUGUCCUUAGAGCUAGGAAGUGGCAGAGAAAGGAUUCUGCCAGGCAAUGCCACUCCAAAGUCCACGCUCUUAAAAUCAAAUGUGUGUCGGAAAGGGUUUCAUGAAAUGAAUUAGGAUUCAUCCCGGGAAUGGAAUGUCUGCUGUGGAUACCACUCUAUAUAAAUAAAACACUGAUGGCCAGUGACCAGGCAGGAAGUAUAGGCGGGACAAAGAGAGAGGAGAAUUGGGGAAACAGGAAGAAGGAGGAGAGACACUGCAGCCACCGCCAGGACAAGCAGCAUGUGAAGACGCCGCUAGGUGUAGCCGUGGAAUAGAUUCAGAACAGAUGUGCACGACGGUGCAUGGAGUGUGCCCUUGUCUUCCUUUCACCUCCUGCGAGAUGGCUGAAGUGAUGAUGGAAGCCGGAGCAGCAGCACCAAGGACAGUAGACAAGGUCUGGCCGUGGAGCACAGAUUGAGUAUGACAGAACCCCACUGAGACUUCAUCUCCACGCCAAUCAUUGCUGUCCAAAUGAGCUGUCAGUACCAGGAGCGAGUCGGGGACACCGGGGGCCAGUGCUUGCUGGCUGAUGUGGGACAGCCACUGGGUGACCGCAUACAAUCACUACUCCUCAGAGCAGGCAACUGUGGAAGAAAAGAAGCAAGAAAUUGAUCUGCAAGCUCAUGUCCAUCCGCUGCCUCAUUCAUGAAAGCCCGACCUUCAUGGCACUGAAUUCAAUUUUUGAAGAAGUCAGAAAAAAAAAUGCCAGUGUUAAAAGGCAGAGAAGAAUCUGCCAAGGCGGGUACAACAAGACUCACCCAGCAGAUGUUGGCACUCCAUAUCACAGCAGAUCAGAUUCAGCACUGUGGCAAAGGAGACAAUAGGAAGAAACAGCUUUAAAAACACCCCAUGGGGUGGCAUAGUGGAAGAUCCAUAUCCCCAUGCACACACCCCACCUCGUAGAUUGUGCAGCUCCAGGCACAAACCCUAUGGAGUUCGGGUGGUGAUGUUGUGUGGGUGAUGAGUUCAUCAGUUAUAACAAAUGUGCCAUUACGGUGGGGGACGUUGAUGAUGGAGGAGGCUGCUACGUCAGGGAAGGCAUAUGUAGGGAACUCCUACAGCAUGCGCUUCACGUCGCUGCGACGCUCAAACUGCUCUAAACUUUAAAGUCAUUUGAAGAAAACACAAUUUGAAACUACCAAUUUAACUUUUAAAAUUGCAACUGUCCAUAUAUUUAUCGAAAGACACUGGAGGGAGAAACACGGGAACCACAGUGUUUGAAAAAUGUGUAUUUUUUUGAAUUUCUGGGAUCUGCCAUCAUACUUUCUCCCCCCACCACCACCACAUUGUCCUAAUCAAGAAUCUGUUUGAAGUCGUUUGAGUAAGCAGAACGAGCAUCUCUAGAUUCCACGCUCACAAAAUUCACUUGGCUCCCAGAAGAUAACUGCCUGUCAGCAUCAAGCUCAGCUGAUGCAUAACUGUGACAACAUCACACACCAAAUUAGCGAACUGGCCGGCUUCAAAUCCCUCUCCCAGCGCCUGCUCUUGUCAAGUAUUUAGUUGCGAAUGGAAACGAUAAGUUAUUCCUCUUCCGUCACUUGGAAUAAACACUUACAAGCUCUCUGAUACUGCACUGUGGGAGUAACGCCUUCACUCUUUUGUGGAGCUGCUGGGGACUUAAAGGAGCUGAGGUCAGGGGAUAUGUUAUGUGAGAUAGCUGUGAAUUUCUGGAAAUGUUCAAGGUAAACUAAUUUAGCACAAGGGGAAGAAAGGGCGUGAGAAAGAGUGCUGAAGUUAGACAGAGUUUGGCGUUGGAUUUUGACCCCACUUAAAAACUUCGAAAUUAAGCAAGUCUCUCUUUUUCUGAGUCUGUUUUCCAUCGUUCAGAUGGAAAUAAAAGUAUCAGCUCCACAGAACUGCUCUGAGAACUGAAAUUAUGCCUAUUAAGAGCUAGCCCACUGCCUCGCACAUCGCUAAAUGGCUUACAGACUUGGUCCAGCUAGUCCAACAAUGGCUGUCUACCAACCGAAGGUCCAAUAAUCCAGUAGUUGUUCAGUCCAUGAGACUGAAUGUCUCAAGUGGUCUUCAGUAUGUGCUGGAACCCAGAAGAUGUAGGCUCUAAUAUCAGUGAAGGAAUGGACUUGCUAAUGAGAGUAAGAGCAAGCCGGCAAAGAGAAUGAAUUUCCUUUUUUCAUGUCCUUAUACUAUAUAAGCUGCAAGCAAAAGCUGUGGCCCAGAUUAGAGGUGGGUCUUCUCAACUAAAGAUCCAGAUUACAACUGGGUCCUCCCACUUUAAAUGAUUUAAUUAAGGAAAACUCCUUCAUAGGUGCCCCCAGCCACUUGGGUUUUAGUUAAUUCUAGAUGUAGUCAAGUUGACAGCCAAUAAUGGCUAUCACAGUCACUAUACAGAAAAAUGAUCAAUAAUCAAAAAGUAUUUUUUUUUACUUUAAGAAUAUUGUUGUCGUUCAGUGGUGGCACACAUAGUUCAUCUCAGUACUUGGGAGGCAGAGCCAGGUGGAUCUCUG